AUGACUUUCUGGAAAAACACCAUUUUGUGCAGAGACUUAACUGAGAAUCUGCUGCAUCACCCAGAAGCACAAAGCAGCUCCCAGGAUAAAACCCGUCAGGAGAGGAAAGCAGAAGAUGAAACAGAUGAGGCAGAUGUGGAACAGCAGCAGCGGGAUAACAGGCAGCUUCCUUUGGGAUAUUUCCUUCCCAGUAUCCUAAAUACAAGAGGUGAGAGGGUAAGCAGGAAUCCUGUAUCCCAUGCACAGUGAGUCUGGUUAAGCAGAGACCCAGCAAGCUCAGGAACACCGAUCAUGGAGUCUUCUGCUACCACUCUGUGUAUCACAGUGGGACAACACAGCUUUGCCUAUAGCCAAAAGUUGUGCUGUGUGUGUGCUUGUGCUGGGGAGCAGCACCCAGAAUCUCCUUCCUUUAUCUCCACCUGCAGGCGGCCACAGCACAGGCUGUGCCUGCCAGCACGGCCAAGGAAAACUAAAUUGCACCAGCUGUCUACAGCCGGUCACAAAAAGUGUGCUUGAUGGUACUGUAAUCGCAUUUACUCACCUAAUUAGUGGUGAAAGGAGAAGUGCCAUGCCAAGAAGAGAAGUCUGAUUAAGGGUGCCUGGUGAGAGCAGCUGUAGGGGUGUAUGGGAACUGCUGAAUGACGGCCUGAACCUCUGAUUGAUCACCUGAGGCGAGCAGUGAGUCAGCCACAGGAGCACAGGUGAAGGCAAUUCAGCUGUGCUGCACCUCUCCUAGAGCCAUUUAAGAGCUGAGUUCCAGUGGAGAAGGGUCUCUUCUGGAGAUCUGCUCUGCUGGAGUUUCAUAGUGAGCUCAGGAUAGGGGUAAGCAUUCUCUCUAUUCUGCUUUGGUGUAAUAACUGCAUAGCCAAACUCUGCUAUAUUUCAUAACUAUAACAUCUGUAUGUUCAUUGAUUAUACAAGGGGUAACAAAAAGCAGCCCCAGCUUUAGGGGAGGUCAGGACGUGUUACUGGUGGGAUGUUUUAAGAGUAGGUCCUGUAACCCCUUAUCUUUAAUUUACUCACUGAUCUGAAAGCAUAGAUGGCUAAAAGAGCUUUGAACACAGCAAAAUGCACAUUUCCAAAGUCAGUUUUUAAAAUGUAGGUAAUGCUUUUUUUAAUGUUUACUGGUGCAGCUGUGCAG
rnacentral:lncRNA from 1 species